rnacentral:lncRNA from 1 species
GAUACACUACGACAAGCCAUCCACUGAUUAUUAUCUAGGAGGACUUUAAGCAUCCUUGGGCUGUGAAGAUGAAGGUUUCGCUGACCCAGCCUCAUCCUAUGGUUUAUUUGUGCCUCCUAGAAUAGUAGUAUUAAGUGGACGUGAAACACCCGGGACUGAUGAUGGAGCAUAACGACCACCAAAAGGAGGUUCUUGACCCGCCGCAACAGCAUCUUCAUGACGUUUCUGCAAAUAACGAAGCAUUGCUUUCUCCAACGUGCUCAUUUUUUCGACUUAUCCUUAGGGUCAACUAUGGUUUUCCCCUGUCCACAAGAGGAACGACGAUCGCCCCCACCAUCACCACUUCCUCCAGUAGCAGAAGCCAUCUAUGUACGAAAAUUCAUACCUUAGCAAUGUAGAACUUGUUGAACUUGAAGACCGUGAUCAUCUGGAAAGCAUGUUCUCAACUAGGCGGC